GUUUCGCAACUCCGAUGUGGCACUAGGGCCAAAAAGUUUGUCCACCCCUGCCUUACACACUAUUGUAAUAAUCUUUGCACAAAAUAUGCCUUGUGAGGUAUCAUUUGAAAACUAAUAACUUACUGGUUAAUAAUAUCAUGGCUGACAAUAUCAACAGUAUAUGUAAAAUUAUGAAUUACCUGGAAUGACGUUACUAGCACUUGUUCAAAACCAGACAGGUAAAAGUGUUAAACAGCUCUAUCCUAAACAAAGGAGUGUGGGUUUACCUCAGUUUACACAUAAACAGUAAACAGAGCAAUCAAACUAAUGGGGAGGGAAGAGUGGAGAUGGCAAGAAACAAAACUAUUUACAUUUUAGCAAACACUAGUGCAGGAAGAAAGAACAUGGAGCUUCCUUCACCACCAGAGUCCAUGUCAUCUUCCACAUUGCUUCAAUAAACUUUACUUUGAGGGGUAACCAGAAGAAUCCAUACUGUUCUAGAAAGGAAAGGGCAGAAUACCCCAAGGUAUGUCUUUCAUCUAAGAAAACAAAGGAACCUGCAUUUUGGGCUGCUGGAGGAGAUCCCGAGGGGAGGGAAGGAGUCAGACACCAUUUUGCCAGAAGACUUAAUUGGGAAAGCCAUCUUGAACAAAGCCUGUAACUUGCUAGAUUAAGUUUUAGACUUUUACAUGUGUGUGUUCACCUUUAUUUGCUCGUAACCAUUUCUAACUUUAUCUCUUAUACUUGAACUCACUUAAAAUCCUAUCUUCUUUUGUUAGUAAACUAGUUUUACUUUUAAUCUAACCCAGGGAUCUCAAACACGCAGCAGGCCUGCGGAGCUCCUCCUCCCGCCCUCGUGCACCAUGUCCCCGCUCCUCCACCUACCUCCCAGCACUUCCCACCCCCGAACAGCAGUUUGGCAGCACUUAGGAUUUUACAGGAGGGAGGGGGGAGGAGCAGGGACGCGGCACACUCAGGGGAGGAGGCAGAGAAGAGGCAGGGAUGGGUUUUGGGGAAGGGGUUGGAAUAGGAGCAGGGAGGGGGAGCAUGAGCUGUAUGCUAUUCUGGUUUAUGCAUCAUCAGCAGAACUUUUGAUUAUGAGUCUUAUCCAACUCCCAUUGAAGUCAAUGACAUUCUUUCCAUUGAUUUCAAUGGGAGUUAGACAAGACUCUACCUUCCAGUUGCAGAAUAUAGUGCUGGUAAAGAAGCAUAAGUGAGAAAGAACACUGCCUGACUGAAAUUUCAAAGAUCAAAUGGACCUUUUAUGCCUCUGAAUGUUGCAGGAGAGGGAUGGACAUUGCAGAACACAUGAGUUCGAGAAAGCUCAGGACUGGGGUUCUCUACAGGAAGUUGCCAUCCUGCCUCCUGAUUCCAUUGUACAAGCCCAAAUGUCUAAUGAGCACAAGACACCGAAGGAGGGGCAGAAGCCUGGUGUAAAGGGGAGGACCGUGUUUUACCACUGGGAAGAAAGAGAGUGGUUGGGAGCCCAGGUACUCACCUCCCCAGAAUCAUUCCUCUGCUGGAAAUCCCCAUCAUACACAACCUGUACAGGAGAAUGGUCCAAGGAGGUACCACCAAUGUAACUCCACUGAGCACAUGAGAAAUAAGUGUCCUAAGAUAAACUAAGCUCACACCCCAUCCAAUGCAAGUUAAUGGAACUUUCAUUAACAUAGAGGAACAUGUGGGGCCACUGAUUAAUUUUGUGAGGCCUGAGCCUAAGGAAGUGGACUUGGAGUUUAUCAAGGUUGCCAAUAUAUAUUGCAAGGAAUGGGUAGCCUCAAGGGACAUUGGAGUACAAAUUUCUCAGGUCAAGGAAAGCGUAUUCAGAAAAACUGGCAAGUUACCUGACCAGGAGGUAGAGCUCCUGGCAUUAGAGAAAUAUUAAAUAGCUGUACCUCUGGCUAAGGUGCAUUUCCAAGUAAGAGGCUUGAAAGAUACCUUGAAAGUUGCGAUAUUAAACAGCACUUCCACAGCAAUGCUGGUGGGAAAUUAUAUUUUUAGUAUGUUCACAGCUGUUAAUAUUGUAACCCAUAGAAGAGAAUUGUGCAGACAAAGGAGCAGCUGUGGGAGAAGGGGACAGCCCCAGCUGAGCAAGAGGAAGCAAAGUGCUUUCAGAUGUGGGAGGGAUUGAAGCCAGCUCCUGCAUAGCAAAGGAAAGUAGAAUCCUCUGAGACUGGGGGAGGGGUAAUUAACCCCUGCUACUGAAGAAUCUGUCCCAGUUGUCAGCUGCUAGCAUUUUGCAGAUGAACCAAGGGUAGCCUGCACUCUAGAGUGCAUAUGGGGAUAUGUGCUGAAGGGAACCCCAGUGAGGAGAAAUGGAGAAAGUACAAGUAAGCUCAUGGGGAAAAGUAAAAUCCCUGGGAAACCUUACAAGUGGCUGAUUGUGCCUGCCCAUCACUGUGGGGAAUUAAUCUUGCUAACACAUGAUUUUUCUUUUACUGGUCACUUAGAGCCAUGAAAAUCUAUGAGCCGUUUUAAAAAAAAAAAAUUUACUGGCCAGGCUACAAAAUGAGGGGAGAGAUUAUUGCAGGUCUUGUGAAUUAUGUCAAAAAAGACCUGCAGGACUGCAGAAAGUUCCUCUUUGCCCUUUGCCUGUAAUACAAGAGGCGUUUUAUAGGGUAGCAAUGGGCGUUGUGGGUCCUAUGCUACACCCCACCCAAAGGGGGAAGAAAUAUAUCCUAGUGGUAGUGGAUUUUGCCAUCGAUAUCCCAAAGCAGUUGCUCUAUUGACAUAAAGCCUGUUUCUGUGGCAAAAAGCCCUUUUCAUUAUUUUUAGCAGAGUGGGUUUUCUUAAAAAUAUUUUCAGAUCAUUAGUCAGAUUUCAUGUCUCAGCUAUUCAGUGACUUAUGGAAGUUGUGUGUGGGAUAAAACAACUAAAAAGCUGCCCCAUAUCACCUAGAGACAAAAUGGUGUGGUGGAGAGGUUCAGUGGGACACUGAAAUCAAUUCUGAGGAUGCAUGCCCGCAGGUGGGACUAAGAUUAGGACGAAAUGUUACACUAUUUGUUGUUAAUAAAGAAGUGCCACAAGAGUCUACAGUUUGGCCCAUUUGAUCUUCUAUACGGAGGGAAAGUGAGGGGACUCCUAGCUCUUACCAGAGACUGCUGGGAAGGAGAUACUGAGACAGAAAGGUAGCCUAUAACUGAAUAUGUACAAAGGUUCAAGCAAGAGUUAAAGGACAUGCUGGAAGUGGUUUAGAGUCACCUUUUGUUUGGCCUGACUGUCCCUGUGGUAUGGCAUGACCAAUAUAUUUGUAAAUGCUCUUUGAAGUAGGAGACUGAGUGUUGCUACUUAUCCCUGUGGAAAAAAAUGCAAAACUUAUGGAAGGGACCUUUUGAAAUGAUAGAAGAGGUAACUGAAUGUACAUACAUGCAAAAGACCUCACAGUAAUGCUGCCACGCAGCUGGUGCAUGUAAACAGAUUUAAAGUUGAACACAAGAGAGAAGCCAUGGUAAACAUAAUCUGUUGUUUAGAGGGGGAAACUGAGGAAACCUCAUUGAUUUGAUGGCUGAAUGCCAAACUGGCUCAUCUCUGGAAAGCCUCAAUAACUACAGUGAUUUACUAUAAGUUGAGAAGGCAGAGGUGUUAUCUGUACUUCAAGCACACAGACAAGUGUUUUCUAACAAGCCAGGGAAGACUCACUUGCUGACUCAUAAGAUCGUUACUGUAGGAUCACAGCCACUUCCCAGCAGGGCCUACUGUACCACUGGCAAGGUACAAGAGCAAACUUGCACAGAGAUGCAGAGCAUGCUGGACCUGGGAGUGAUUACAGAGUCUGACUGCUCUUGGGCAUCACCUGUGGUCUUUGUUACUAAGACAGACAACACUGUAAGGUUUCGGGUUGAGUAUAGGAAACUCAGUGCUGGCAUGGUGACAGAUGCUUAUUCUAUACCUAGAAUUGAUGAUAUGCUGGAUAUCUUAAGAAAAGCUAACUAUAUCAGUUUUUUUUUAUUUAAAGGAUACUGGAAAAUUCUUAAGAUAAUGCUCAGAAAAAAAUCUGCUUUUAUUAGUGAUGUGGGACUGUAUGAGUUUUAAAUGGAUUACAGGACUUGGCAAGGGCCUGUGUCCACAAUAUAGCGAUGACAAAACCUCUCACUGAUCUGAAUUGCACCCAAAGUGUGACAACAGACAACCCUUAAAGGAAAACCCUCUUUCAUCAGAGCCUUCUAGAUCUGUGCAAAAAUAAAAUCAUCUCCCAACAGUUUGGUAAUGUGUGAAUAACAUAUGGGUUAUUUUACUGCACUGUUUUAUAGUUCAGAGCUUCUUUUUUUAUUCUAUUAGGUUUUUUUUUUAAAGUAUGACAUUUCCUACUUAUUAAAGAUGUAAUUUUGUCUUCUAAAAUACGCGUGCUUAGCUGGGAAAUUCAGUUCAGCCGGGCUUGUUGAGGGGUAUCUAAGCUGUCUUCCUGUGGUAUAGAUUUUAGAUAUGCUCCCUUUCCUUGUGGGCUUUGCUGUAGAUUUUAAAAUUAUUUUCACAAUAAAAAUAUACAAAAUC